CCACGCACCGACACGAUCGAUGUGAAGACGCAGGCCACAAAUCCCGGAGCCCAUCUGACACCAGCCACUUAAAAACUAAUUACAACCACUGAUUUACCUUAUGAAGCCAUCAGGGUUUGCGAUGCUCAUGUAAAUUCACUGCACGUCUCUGGAGAUCCGAUUGCAUCGUUUCUAGUGUUUGCUCUACAAAUUCAAUCUGUGGCAUUUUAAUGACUAAUUGCCUUGAAAAACAUAUGCAAAUAACACAAUGGUGUAAUCACUUCUUCAUUUAUUUUUUUUGCAUCCAGCAGGUCCCGAAUGUCACGCUGGUGUAACGAGGGAUUGCAUCUCGUUUCACCGGCUGGUAAACAGUUUUCUCUGUUCAUUACAGGUCUGUAAUUGUAAACAGCAUAAUAUUGUUUUUUAUUCCAGAAUGGACCAGAGUUUGGGGCAACCAAUGCCAAACAAUUAAAAUGCACAAAUUUCCCGCCGUGUGAAACCACCCACUUGGCAACAUGCGAGGGCAACAGCUGGUCAGACAUCUCACGCUGCUUAAUUACUGCUGACAUUCCCGCGGCUCUUAAUAAAGCAAAACCAGCCUGGAUCAGCAUAUUAAUUCAGCGCUCACACAUGGCCGACUGAUUUCCCAGCAUGCUCCUGAGAGAGAGUGAUUUGCAUCAGCGGUGAUGGACAUGAGAUCACUUCCUUCCACCUGUAAGAACAGAGAAGAUCAUAAUCGCAGUCCAUUUCCUCCUGGAAUUACACAAGCUUCAGUCUGGAUCCAGCCCUUUCAAAGACCUGAGAUGACCGAACACCUGGGAAGAGAUGAUGCCAACCCUCAGACAGCAUACAAAACUACCAAAUUUUGCUAUAAGUUUGAUGUCAACAUAUAAUCAUUGCUGUUAAAAGUGUUCACCGUCUGUUUGAUUACAUGACAUUAACUAACUGCUUGAUUUUUACUGUAAAUUUCUGCCAUAUGGACAUCAACUUGAGAUAGUCACCACUGAUAAGCUAUU